rnacentral:rRNA from 1 species
AACGAACGCUGGCGGCAUGCCUAACACAUGCAAGUCGAACGAAGGCUUCGGCCUUAGUGGCGCACGGGUGCGUAACGCGUGGGAAUCUGCCCUUUGGUUCGGAGUAACAGCUGGAAACGGCUGCUAAUACCGGAUGAUGACGAAAGUCCAAAGAUUUAUCGCCAGAGGAUGAGCCCGCGUUGGAUUAGGUAGUUGGUGGGGUAAAGGCCUACCAAGCCGACGAUCCAUAGCUGGUCUGAGAGGAUGAUCAGCCACACUGGGACUGAGACACGGCCCAGACUCCUACGGGAGGCAGCAGUGGGGAAUAUUGGACAAUGGGCGCAAGCCUGAUCCAGCAAUGCCGCGUGAGUGAUGAAGGCCCUAGGGUUGUAAAGCUCUUUUACCCGGGAAGAUAAUGACUGUACCGGGAGAAUAAGCCCCGGCUAACUCCGUG